UUAAUGAUCACUUUUGAUGUAACUCAUUAUUUAUGCAGUGAAUUAGAUCAAUUAGACAGGCAGGCAGGAUGGUUGAGCCAUGGCUGAAUCACUUUUGCAUUUAUGUUCAUUUUAGGCAGCCUUCUCUUUGUCUGUUAGGGCUCCGCUCCGUCACUUUGUAGAGCUGCGGACGGGAGAUGAAUGCUGAUGGAUGAGAAGAUUUCAAUGAAUAUAAACCAGCUGAGCACUGCUAAAUCAAGUCUGAACACCAAAAGCACUGAUACAACAUCAAGCUGGAUUCGGAUGAGCAUUUGUAUGGUGGUCACGGACGGCUGGACCACAACACGGAGUUCCUCACAGAGGCCCACCCCUUCAACGGCCGCCCCAACUCCAUCAAGGUCUACAUCCCCUGCAGAACAGCUAUUGUCCUGGCCAACGAGGGGAUAGAUUACUGUUAUUAGAGGAUGAUUGUCUCUGCAGAGUCCAGGAUCGAGAAUGGAUUCCAACCUCAAACUGAGUGUUAACAAUCACCUUCAUCUUAAAGUGUCAACCUUGCACGACACCCAAAACCACGUUUUGUGCCCAAGUCUUUUUUUUUUUCUAAAUGGGGGGAAAAAAGCAUUGUGAGCUUGUGUGCUUUCAAACACCAUCUGCAACCUUAGAUGCUUUCGUAACCCCAUUUACUACAGAUUGGUCCAUUUGGGCAGCGUCCAACCUAACCAGCAGCUAGAUGCUAAAACUUAAAACCCUGCCGAGUCCGCCACCACUAGCCAGCAGCCAUUUAUAGGCUCUGUUGAAUUUGGCUUGUCAUCUGAAACACAUGACCGGGAAGCAAUACAGCGAGCAUUCAAACGUGAUAAAAGCUCAGAGAAAAUAAAAAUAUUUCAGAAUGUUAUGCAUGUGGAAAUAAAUUUUACUUUUAAUUGUCUUAUAUUUAAAUACAGAUAAUAUUCGGGUGUCAAAGACACAAAGAGAUUUUCAGUAUUAUCAGCACUUGAAAAAAAUCAAAAAUUCCAGGUAUAUUAUCAUUGGUCAUUUGUCUUUGUUCAUUUGCAUUUUGAGACCUUGUACGUAUUAAAAUAUUGCAAUUUGCACAAAUUAAGGAGCUGCUUUGAAUUAUUAUACUUUCAAUGUAUCUAAACCCGUUGUUUGAAUUCAUGCAGCUACUGGGAGCAUUUAUGUGGUUAUUUAUGGUGCUGUUAUUGAGCCAGUAAUUUGCAGCUAAAGCAAAGUGAUAAAAUCUCCUAAUUUGGAUUGUUCACAGUGUGUUGCAUAAUGCACAAAUAACAUUUUAAGCUGAAUUACACAGUUCUUGUCCACUUAACAAAAUGUAAUGCAUGGUUUUCUCCUACAGUAGAUCACAUUAAAGUACUUUAUGUCGUGCAUUUCACUAAACUCUUCGACCUCUGCUGAAUUCUACUAAACCUUUACUGUGACUGCUGAACUCAAUGUAACAGGUCAUUAAAAUAGUCGUUCAUUAACUGAUGUUUUUUUGCAAAUGACUUGGUAAUGUAUCCGUUUCCAUCCUUUAUGUUCUCCUUGUUUUCAUAAAAGUCCCUUGUUUCCAUGUGAAUCGAUGUCUUUUGGGCAACUUUCAGCAUUCUCUGCACGUUUUAUCAAAGCGAUACUGUGAAACAAGAGCUCAUUUUGGACAUCCCAGAUAAAAGCUAAUGCUUAGAUUUACUGCCAUGGAUUCUGUAAUUCUGUGAUCCACACCUACUGCAUUAGUACAGAUCCUCAACAUGUUGAGCUUGUAUUGUAAUAUAUGGCAAGUUUUGAUCUCCUUCUCCUGCAGCUGAAGAAAACAAAUGUAUGUGUGUAGGACCUCGUUUUGUUUAGCCAAAAGUAUCAUGAACAUGUCAUUUCAUUUUGUGCCACACCAAAGCAAAAUGCCUUUCUCCACCUCUCGAGCAGCACAGACAGGAUCACUCUGCAUACAAUUCAAGCAGUGAGGUUGUGAGACUGAAGUGGAGUGUUUAAUCAUCCCUCAUCUGACCCAAUGUCAUUGUCGUUUGACCGAUGCCAAAAUGCAUUUGUUCUCAAAAGUAAAAUUGAUGUCUGAUACGCAGUAACUAUUGCGGCAUAUUUCUUUCAUUAUUACUAAUGAUAAUAAAUCAGUGCCUGUCAGGCCACGAGACAAAUGUG